GGUUGUAAGAGUCUUUAUAGAUCAGAAAUACAGAACUGCUUAACAGUUGGCAUGGGCAGGUCCUUACAGAUCCCAGAACUAUAGGAUGGGUUGGGUUGGAAGGGUCUUGAAAGAUCCCAGAACUGUAAGAUCAAUUGGGUUGGAAAGGUCCUGAAAGAUCACAGAACUAUUGGUUGGGUGAGAAGGGUCCUGAGAGGUCAGAAGCAUAGAGCUGUUUCACAGUUGGCUUGGAUAGGUCCUGAAAGAUCUCAGAACUACAGGACGGGUUGUGUUGGGAGGGUCCUUACAGAUCAGAAACAUUGAACUGCUGCAUGCUUAGGAUGGCUGGGUCCUGAAAGAUCACAGAGCUGUAGGAUGGGUUGGGUUGGAAGGGUCCUGAAAGAUCAUAGAACUGUAAGAUCAAUUGGGUUGGAAGGGUCCUGGAAGAUCAUAGAACUAUUGGCUGGGUGAGAAGGGUCCUGAGAGGUCAGAAGCACAGAGCUGUUUCACAGUUGGCUUGGAUAGGUCCUGAAAGAUCUCAGAACUACAGGAUGGGUUGUGUUGGGAGGGGUCCUUACAGAUCAGAAACAUUGGACUGCUGCAUGCUUAGGUUGGCUGGGUCCUGAAAGAUCACAGAGCUGUAGGAAGGGUUGGGUUGGAAGGGUCCUGAAAGAUCAUAGAACUGUAAGAUCAAUUGGGUUGGAAGGGUCCUGAAAGAUCAUAGAACUGUAAGAUCAAUUGGGUUGGAAGGGUCCUGAAAGAUCAUAGAACUGUAAGAUCAAUUGGGUUGGAAAGGUCCUGAAAGAUGAUAGAACUAUUGGUUGGGUGAGAAGGGUCCUGAGAGGUCAGAAGCACAGAGCUGUUUCACAGUUGGCUUGGAUAGGUCCUGAAAGAUCUCAGAAUUACAGGACGGGUUGUGUUGGGAGGGUCCUGAAAGGUUACAGAGCUGUGGAAUGGUUGGGUUGGAGGGGUCCUUAAAAAUCACAGAACCACAGAAGGGACGGAUUGGAAGGAUCCUUAAAGAUCACAGAACCAUGGGAUGGUUGGGUUGGAAGGGUCCUGAGAGAUCACAGAACCAUGGGAUGGGUGGGUUGGAAGGGUCCUGAAAGAUCACAGAAC